CAGUAGCCACGGUAAUACGAAGGGUGCAAGCGUUAAUCGGAAUUACUGGGCGUAAAGCGUGCGUAGGCGGUUUGUUAAGUCUGCUGUGAAAUCCCCGGGCUCAACCUGGGAAUGGCAGUGGAUACUGGCAAGCUAGAGUGUGUCAGAGGAUGGUGGAAUUCCCGGUGUAGCGGUGAAAUGCGUAGAGAUCGGGAGGAACAUCAGUGGCGAAGGCGGCCAUCUGGGACAACACUGACGCUGAGGCACGAAAGCGUGGGGAGCAAACAGGAUUAGAUACCCCCGUAGUCCCUGUUUCUUAUAC
rnacentral:rRNA from 1 species